rnacentral:lncRNA from 1 species
UGUUGAGAGACGAUCCGAUUAAAAUACAUCUUUUUAUAAAAUUGUAAUGGUUCGCUCAUUUGUGUAUGUAUACUUCGUUACUAAGAUAUUUAUUUUACAGAUAUUUAAGGCAUUGAACUGACUUGGAGUAGUCGGACAUGGAUAAAUCCAAUCGGAAUUUCAUGCGAAUCAAGAAUACCAUAUGCACCCACUGAUGAAACCGAGCAGUGGCAAAGCAGAGGGGUGGCAGAGGGGCGGCACAGGGGCGGCAGUAUGCCUGCUCGCUAAUUUCUAUUGUUGGUUGAGACGAC